rnacentral:rRNA from 1 species
UACUCCUACGGGAGGCAGCAGUGGGGAAUAUUGCACAAUGGGGGAAACCCUGAUGCAGCCAUGCCGCGUGUGUGAAGAAGGCCUUCGGGUUGUAAAGCACUUUCAGCGAGGAGGAAAGGUUGGUAGCUAAUACGCGUCAGCUGUGACGUUACUCGCAGAA